GCCUUCGUGGUGUAAUUGGAAGCAUAACCGGCUCAUAUUCGAGAGGUCCAGGGUUUGAAUCCCGGCGAAGGCA
rnacentral:tRNA from 1 species